rnacentral:rRNA from 1 species
AUUGAACGCUGGCGGCAGGCCUAACACAUGCAAGUCGAACGAGUGGCGGACGGGUGAGUAAUGUCUGGGAAACUGCCCGAUGGGGGGGGAUAACUACUGGAAACGGUAGCUAAUACCGCAUACCAUGGGAUGUGCCCAGAUGGGAUUAGCUAGUAGGUGGGGUAACGGCUCACCUAGGCGACGAUCCCUAGCUGGUCUGAGAGGAUUACCAGCCACACGGGAACUGAGACACGGCCCAGACUCCUACGGGAGGCAGCAGUGGGGAAUAUUGGACAAUGGGCGCAAGCCUGAUGCAGCCAUGCCGCGUGUAUGAAGAAGGCCUUCGGGUUGUAAAGUACUUUCAGCGAGGAGGCGUUACUCGCAGAAGAAGCACCGGCUAACUCCGUGCCAGCAGCCGCGGUAAUAC